UGUACCUACGGGGCGCAGCAGUGGGGAAUAUUGCACAAUGGGGGAAACCCUGAUGCAGCAACGCCGCGUGAGUGAAGAAGUAUUUCGAUAUGUAAAGCUCUAUCAGCAGGGAAGAAGAUGACGGUACCUGAUUAAGAAGCCCCGGCUAACUACGUGCCAGCAGCCGCGGUAAUACGUAGGGGGCAAGCGUUAUCCGGAUUUACUGGGCGUAAAGGGAGCGUAGACGGAGGAGCAAGUCUGAUGUGAAAAUCCGGGGCCCAACCCCGGAACUGCAUUGGAAACUGUUUAUCUAGAGUGUCGGAGAG
rnacentral:rRNA from 1 species